AUAAUCCGAAAGCAACCUCUGGGCUGGCUUUAGCUCAGCGGUUACUUCGACAAUUCUUUAAUUGAAACAAGCAACCUGUCUGGGUUGUUCGAGACCCGCGGGCGCUCUCCAGUCCUUUUACCUCUCUGGGCGGUUCGAGACCCGCGGGAGCUCUCCAGUCCUUUUCACUGCUGAAGUUCAGCUCCCUUUCCAUGGUAAAAGGAAUCAGGGCUCCUCGGAGAAAUGGCUGAUUUUAGUACUGGGCAGGAAAUAUAGAAAUGGACGUGGAGCAUCUCGUAGAGCUAGAAAGUACUAACCAGGCCUGACCCUACUUAGCUUCCGAGAUCAGAGGAGACCGGGCACGUUCAAGAUGACUUGGAACUGAAGAAGCUGGCAAUCUGGAAAUGCCAAUGGACGCAGAUUUUAAAAGCCCCAGCAAAAGUCUGCUUUCUCUAUUCAUAGGACCAGGAUCAGGAAGAGGACAGCUUAGAAAGACAUAAAAUUCUUAGACAAUAACUGUUCUACCCCAGCCAAACACCAAACACACACACACACACACACACACACACACACACUCCAACAACUAUGGCCCCACCCACUUCAGCAAAGGCUGAGUAGGAGCCUAGACUUCCACCACUGAGCGGCUAUAAGAAGUUACCCCAAGACCCCACCAACGUGGUGUUAAAGAAGGCCAAAUAGGGGACAAGAUUUUUAUCCAUGCUGACCAGUUAUGAGGUUCCCUUUUUCCCCCUGUGAAAUAAAAAUAAAGCCCGUAGGUCCCCAGG